UGUCUCUUCCAACUCUCGGCACAAUUGCGACAAACUAGCAUUGACCCUUUCCACCUCCCAUCAGGUCUCUCUCUCUCCCCUCUUCCCUCUCUCUUCCCCCUCUCCUUCUUCUUCUCUUUCUCCUUCUUCCUCUUCUUCACCUUCCUCCGUCUUCAUCUCCGUUCAUCAUCUUCUUGACGGUGAACAGAAAACUACCGCCAACGAAACCGUAUUGGUAGGCCGGAGCUGUAUAGUUCGGAAACCAAGGUGCUUCUACUAUGUGAAUUUUCUUAAAAGUAAACGAUGAUCGCUGCCUGUGUUUUCCGUCCUCCCAAUAAAAUUUAAUUUUCUUCCUCUGAUCUCUGCCAAAUCUAGCAAAGCUUUCUAUAUCUUUAUUGGACGUUUCAGCUUCAAUAAUCCAAUCGGUUUGACCUCAAAUGUCGGACUUCUGAAGGCUAAGAAAGAACUUCAAGGCAAUAAAUCCUUUCUAUUAAUAACCAAGAUCCAAGAGGUCAGAGCCAUGGAGCAAUGGUGUCUCAUGCUCGAGUAGAAGAAUGCAUCGUUGAACUUCAAGAUCUUAGCUCACAAGACUGAGAUCGAGAUGCUUGAGGCCAAAUACCAGGUUGCAGCCCAGCAAUUCAGUGAGCUGAAGAAUGAGGUUGAUGUUUUAUGAGUUGAAGAGUUUUGAAAUGGAAAAGUUCAGGAGACAGGUGGGAAAAUAUUGUUUUGGCUUCUUGUUUGACCUGCAAAUGUUGGACUUUUGAAACCACUCGAUUGUAUAGAAAUGAACGAAGCUUUGCAUUUUCAGCUUUUCCAAUAGGAUCAGCAAGUGUAUUUUCUCUGU